rnacentral:misc_RNA from 1 species
CUGUGAUCGACCUGGAGGUCC